rnacentral:rRNA from 1 species
GAUGAACGCUGGCGGCGUGCCUAAUACAUGCAAGUCGAGCGAACGGACGAGAAGCUUGCUUCUCUGAUGUUAGCGGCGGACGGGUGAGUAACACGUGGAUAACCUACCUAUAAGACUGGGAUAACUUCGGGAAACCGUAGCUAAUACCGGAUAAUAUUUUGAACCGCAUGGUUCAAAAGUGAAAGACGGUCUUGCUGUCACUUAUAGAUGGAUCCGCGCUGCAUUAGCUAGUUGGUAAGGUAACGGCUUACCAAGGCAACGAUGCAUAGCCGACCUGAGAGGGGGGUCGGCCCCACUGGAACUGGGACACGGUCCAGACUCCUACGGGAGGCAGCAGUAGGGAAUCUUCCGCAAUGGGCGAAAGCCUGACGGAGCAACGCCGCGUGAGUGAUGAAGGUCUUCGGAUCGUAAAACUCUGUUAUUAGGGAAGAACAUAUGUGUAGGUAACUGUGCACAUCUUGACGGUACCUAAUCAGAAAGCCACGGCUAACUACGUG